GACCUUGAUCCACCACUGUCCUCGGUGGCCUCCCUGACGUAGGCUGCAGGUGAGGCUGGAGGCAGAGGUAUAUCCCAGAGAGAUGUGUACUUAAACAUCACUGAUUUUCCCAGACUUUCACCCGGGUUCGCCAUAGUUUUGGACAAGCCAGAACGUGAUGAAGACUAGCUGUGGCGAAAAUAUUGCUGACAAUUUUCUCAUUAGAAAACUUGGGUUUGUGUCAACUUCGUCUUCUUCAGGGUUAUUAUUAUAUGUUGGUGCCAUACUUUCUAAUUUUAGUUUUUAGAGAAAGAACAGCUAUCAUGAUCGUGCUCCAGCGCAUGACUGUCUAUAUAAGCAGUCAAUAAUGUCUUAAUAUCCUAUAUAUGUGGAUAAACUAGGAUUUAAGUACUAUUUCAUAAUAUAGGAUGUUUAGAGGAUUA